GAGGUGUCCCUGCCCAUGGCAGGGGGGUUGGAACUAGAUGAUCUUAAGGACCUUUCCAACCCUAAUGAUUCUAUGAUUCUAUGAUUCUUACCCUCUCCUGAGGUAGUCUAUGCCAAGGAUGCAUGGAGCCUCUGGACCAGUCACAAUGGGGUGCUUUUGCCAUUCCCUCCCAGUCAGGCUGAUUUCAGCCUCCAGUACAGUCGACUCCUGGGAUCCUCCUGUCACUCCAGAAAUAG